CCCCGCUUUUACAUUGCCGCCUCUUAAGAGGAAGCUGCCGCUCAGCUGCUCCUACCUAAAUACAUGUAAAAGGAGAAUUCGUUUUUCUCGGCAAUCAAUGCACCAAAUGUGACAAGGUCUGCUGCAAUUUAAAAGAAGAACUUAAAAUCUAGUGACUGUUUGUUUCGAAUUUUCGAUUUAGGGCGUAAAUGUUUUAUUAAAACUUGGCAGAAAUCGCAAAUUUUCAGAAAACUUAACUAUCAAGUUUACAACUCUUUAUCUCAGCAAUGAAAAACGAUAUCACAAUUCUGUGAAUUGCAUCUAAUAGCACAUCUAAAGCGACAAAAUUGAUAUGUUACACAUGAAUCUG
rnacentral:lncRNA from 1 species